GUACUUGGUGACGGCCUUGGUGCCCUCGGACACGGCGUGCUUGGCCAGCUCCCCGGGCAGCAGCAGGCGCACGGCCGUCUGGACUUCCCGGGAGGUCAGAUGGGAAGAGAGCACGACUGAACUCCAGUGCC